rnacentral:rRNA from 1 species
UACGUAGGGUGCAAGCGUUGUCCGGAAUUAUUGGGCGUAAAGAGCUCGUAGGCGGUCUGUCGCGUCUGCUGUGAAAACUCAGGGCUUAACCCUGAGCUUGCAGUGGAUACGGGCAGACUAGAGUCAGGUAGGGGAGAACGGAAUUCCUGGUGUAGCGGUGAAAUGCGCAGAUAUCAGGAGGAACACCGGUGGCGAAGGCGGUUCUCUGGGCCUGUACUGACGCUGAGGCGCGACAGCGUGGGGAGCAAACAGG